rnacentral:rRNA from 1 species
GUCCACGCCUUAAACGAUGAAUACUAGACGUUGGGGUCAACUCAGUGUCGCAGCUAACGCAUUAAGUAUUCCACCUGGGGAGUACGAUCGCAAGGUUGAAACUCAAAGGAAUUGACGGGGGCCCGCACAAGCAGUGGAGCAUGUGGUUCAAUUCGAUGCAACGCGAAGAACCUUACCUGGGCUUGACAUGUAAGCUAAGGCUGAUGAAAGUCAGCGUCACGCAAGGGGAGCUUACACAGGUGCUGCAUGGCUGUCGU